UACGUAGGGCGCAAGCGUUGUCCGGAAUUAUUGGGCGUAAAGAGCUCGUAGGCGGUUUGUCGCGUCUGCUGUGAAAGUCCGAGGCUCAACCUCGGAUCUGCAGUGGGUACGGGCAGACUAGAGUGUGGUAGGGGAGACUGGAAUUCCUGGUGUAGCGGUGGAAUGCGCAGAUAUCAGGAGGAACACCAAUGGCGAAGGCAGGUCUCUGGGCCACAACUGACGCUGAGGAGCGAAAGCAUGGGGGAGCGAACAGGG
rnacentral:rRNA from 1 species